rnacentral:rRNA from 1 species
UACGUAGGGUGCGAGCGUUAAUCGGAAUUACUGGGCGUAAAGCGUGCGCAGGCGGUUAUGUAAGACAGUUGUGAAAUCCCCGGGCUCAACCUGGGAAUUGCAUCUGUGACUGCGUAGCUAGAGUACGGUAGAGGGGGAUGGAAUUCCGCGUGUAGCAGUGAAAUGCGUAGAUAUGCGGAGGAACACCGAUGGCGAAGGCAAUCCCCUGGACCUGUACUGACGCUCAUGCACGAAAGCGUGGGGAGCAAACAGG